GCGCCUAGAAAAAUGCUACUUUUGCUCCUCUACAAUAUAUCCUGGUAGGGGUUCAACAUUUAUAAGAAAUGACUGCAAAGUUUUUAGAUUUUGCCGAAGUAAAUGUGUCAAAAAUUUUAGAAUGAAACGCAAUCCUCGUAAAGUUCGUUGGACUAAAGCUUACAGGAAAUCUGCCGGAAAAGAAAUGAUAAUUGAUAAAACCUAUGAAUUUGAGAAACGUAGAAAUGUCCCCGUUCGUUAUGAUAGAAAUUUAUGGGCCAAUACCAUCUUGGCAAUGAAAAGAAUUGAAGCUCUUCGAACCAAGCGUCAAAAUCAUUAUAUAGAAGCCCGUGUUAAUAAAUCUUUAGAAAGUCUUCAGGAGCAGAAUGUUAAUGAAAUUAAGAAACAUAUCAACUUAGUUGUUACCCCCGAAGAGAGAAAUACUGCUAAAAUUCAAAAAAUCUCACAAUAUAUCGAAAAC